rnacentral:lncRNA from 1 species
CCUCGCUUCGGCUUUAUCCUCGAGGAGUUUUUCCUUCUCCAAAUAUUUCAGGUACGGGGUCAUCCAAUUCUUUCUUUCUUCGAUCUCCAUCACGGUGUUUGCUUUGUCGAAGGCAGAAGUGUUGAUGUGUUGUAUGUAUACCUCAUCUGGGAGCUGCUCCAGCUCUUCCCAAGACAAUCGACUGAGCAGGUCUGCCUCUUUGUUUUCUUUUUGAGGUAUUCUCUGGUAUCUUACCAUGAUCCCUUGGCCUCUGAGCUCGGCCUCUAUGGCCUUUACCUUCGCCAAGUAGUUUUGCAUGGUUGGAUC